UCCGUAGGUGGCAAUCGUUGUCCGGAUUUAUUGGGUUUAAAGGGUGCGUAGGCGGUGAUUUAAGUCAGUGGUGAAAUACGGCAGCUUAACUGUCGAGGUGCCAUUGAUACUGGGUCACUUGAGUACUGAUGAGGUAGGCGGAAUGGACGGUGUAGCGGUGAAAUGCUUAGAGAUCGUCCAGAACACCGAUAGCGAAGGCAGCUUACUAAGGAGUAACUGACGCUGAGGCACGAAAGUGUGGGGAUCAAACAGG
rnacentral:rRNA from 1 species